UGAUGUAGUUUUGUUGUAGAGUGACAUAAGGAUUCACUUUAAUUAAAUGUGCUGUCCCCUGUCUUUUUAAUCCCAAAGGACAAACCAGUACCAGUAGUGGAGGCCGUCGGAGGAAAUGCCGCACUGGGCCGCCGGCACCCAGCUCCAUGACCAUACUCUCCUCCUCCAUCACCACGCGUUGUCUCCCCUGUAAGUCCAGCCCCACAUCCAUCUUCAGCUCCAGCCAUGGUUCAUCCCACCCCUCUGUAUCAGGUUCCAGCACAGGCCGCAGCCCCCUCAUCUCAGCUGGUUACGGGUCCGACACCCCCAUUUAUGUCCCCUUCUGUUGUUUUUGAAAAAAUGGAAAGAUUCAAUAAGUUGCACAACUAUUAUCUAAGCAACUGCCCUAAAGUGACCUAUGAGGCCAAGCGUCGCCAAAGGUCAAGAAAUCCCAAUAGCUUCCGCGAAAAGUACAAGAGGAUGAUGGAAGUAACAUAGGGGACAACAACUCAUAUUCUGCAAGUCCUUCAAAUUCCAGAAACAUUAUGGACAUGAUGUGAAAGGAAGCAGCACAAGAUGUGGGUUAAAAAGAAAGAGGUGCAGUGAAGCUGGAGACCAGACUGAGACCAGACAGGACAAUGACCAACAGACUGGACACAGGGAUACAGAAAGGGCUGCUAAGACAAGCAGACAGAUGACUGCUGUGACAGGAAGCUUUACUGAACAGCAGUAAUGUAUUGCUGUUCCAUCGCAGACAAAAUGGAACUGGAACCAGGAGUACCUGGACCUCAUCAGAGACAUGUUCCAGCCUGAUCAGACAGCACUCCCUGCAGUAACAGGGAGUGACUUCUUCGAGGGAUGGAACCUGGACACGUACCAGGACCCAAACAACAGCUGCUGGGAGAACUCUGGGCACAACCAAGCAGCUCAGACUUCCAGUGCAUGGGAUGUCCAGCCUGUUUCCCAAUUCCCUGGACACAUCCCCAUCUCCCAGGUCGAAGGGAGACAGGAAUUUUUGGUGGAUUCUACCAUCCAGGUCGAGCAGGAGACCUUAGUGAAUGCACUGGAUCCCGAAGAGUCCAUCUUGGAGAAGAUCCUGGAAGACCUGUUCAGAAACUGUAAUUAGGUACAUUCAUAUGUAACCCCAACCAAGGGGGGCACUAGGGAUGCCUCACCAUAGCUCUGAACAUUCACUGAAAUGAACAAUGAAAUAAAGGAAACUGUGUACAAAAAAUAACACUUCAAUAAAAUAUUAACAAAAAACGUAA